rnacentral:tRNA from 1 species
AAAAUCCGUCGAUUUUUUAAAUCAGUGAGGGUUCAAGUCCCUCUAUCCCCA